UGCCAGACUCCUACGGGAGGCAGCAGUGGGGAAUAUUGCACAAUGGGGGAAACCCUGAUGCAGCAACGCCGCGUGGGUGAAGGAGCGUUUCGGCGCGUAAAGACCUGUCAGCGGGGAAGAAGAAAGACGGUACCCGACCAAGAAGCCCCGGCUAACUACGUGCCAGCAGCCGCGGUAAUACGUAGGGGGCGAGCGUUAUCCGGAAUUACUGGGUGUAAAGGGAGCGUAGACGGCGAGGUAAGCCUGAAGUGGAAGCCCGCGGCCCAACCGCGGAACUGCUUUGGGAACUGUUUUGCUGGAGUAUGGGAGGGGUAAGCGGAAUUCCUGGUGUAGCGGUGAAAUGCGUAGAUAUCAGGAGGAACACCGGUGGCGAAGGCGGCCUGCUGGACGACAACUGACGGUGAGGCGCGAAAGCGUGGGGAGCAAACAGGAUUAGAUACCCUAGUACU
rnacentral:rRNA from 1 species